AGAAAAACUUGAUUCAGUCAAAAAGCCCAAGACAGGAGGAGGUCCACCCCUCCCACCACUAACACCUGGGGAAGAGACUUUUCUGAACUUGUCAGUAGGCCAACCAAAUGUCCAUGGUUUAAAUGGAGGUGUUGAUUCUGAUGAGCAGCAGAUUACCAACUCCAUUCAAAAUGAAAACAAUACUUUCUGGUGAAAAGCGGUAUCUUUGGAAGAUUUCGUCCUCCUCCAGACUCUCAAGAGGAUUACUAAGGUCCCGAAAUACCCGAGGUCGUCUUAAAAUGCGCUGAUUUUGUCUCCUCUGACGUCUGCGUCUGAUCAUAGCAGCCAUUUUUAAUGCUUGAGAACGUUCUUAAGUCUGCAUUUUUGUAGACUCAAAUAUUUGAGAAUAAAACUGAUUUUGAGAAU